CACUAUCGUUAACUGAAUACAUAGGUUAACGAGGCGAACCGGGGGAACUGAAACAUCUAAGUACCCCGAGGAAAAGAAAUCAACCGAGAUUCCCCCAGUAGCGGCGAGCGAACGGGGAGCAGCCCAGAGUCUGAAUCAGCUUGUGUGUUAGUGGAACGGUCUGGAAAGUCCGACGGUACAGGGUGAUAGUCCCGUACACCAAAAUGCACAGGCUGUGAACUCGAAGAGUAGGGCGGGACACGUGGUAUCCUGUCUGAAUAUGGGGGGACCAUCCUCCAAGGCUAAAUACUCCUGACUGACCGAUAGUGAACCAGUACCGUGAGGGAAAGGCGAAAAGAACCCCGGCGAGGGGAGUGAAAAAGAACCUGAAACCGUGUACGUACAAGCAGUGGGAGCACCUUCGGGUGUGACUGCGUACCUUUUGUAUAAUGGGUCAGCGACUUAUAUUCUGUAGCAAGGUUAACCGUAUAGGGGAGCCGCAGGGAAACCGAGUCUUAACUGGGCGUUAAGUUGCAGGGUAUAGACCCGAAACCCGGUGAUCUAGCCAUGGGCAGGUUGAAGGUUGGGUAACACUAACUGGAGGACCGAACCGACUAAUGUUGAAAAAUUAGCGGAUGACUUGUGGCUGGGGGUGAAAGGCCAAUCAAACCGGGAGAUAGCUGGUUCUCCCCGAAAGCUAUUUAGGUAGCGCCUCGUGAACUCAUCUUCGGGGGUAGAGCACUGUUUCGGCUAGGGGGUCAUCCCGACUUACCAACCCGAUGCAAACUACGAAUACCGAAGAAUGUUAUCACGGGAGACACACGGCGGGUGCUAACGUCCGUCGUGAAGAGGGAAACAACCCAGACCGCCAGCUAAGGUCCCAAAGUCAUGGUUAAGUGGGAAACGAUGUGGGAAGGCACAGACAGCCAGGAUGUUGGCUUAGAAGCAGCCAUCAUUUAAAGAAAGCGUAAUAGCUCACUGGUCGAGUCGGCCUGCGCGGAAGAUGUAACGGGGCUAAACCAUGCACCGAAGCUGCGGCAGCGACACUAUGUGUUGUUGGGUAGGGGAGCGUUCUGUAAGCCUGCGAAGGUGUGCUGUGAGGCAUGCUGGAGGUAUCAGAAGUGCGAAUGCUGACAUAAGUAACGAUAAAGCGGGUGAAAAGCCCGCUCGCCGGAAGACCAAGGGUUCCUGUCCAACGUUAAUCGGGGCAGGGUGAGUCGACCCCUAAGGCGAGGCCGAAAGGCGUAGUCGAUGGGAAACAGGUUAAUAUUCCUGUACUUGGUGUUACUGCGAAGGGGGGACGGAGAAGGCUAUGUUAGCCGGGCGACGGUUGUCCCGGUUUAAGCAUGUAGGCUGAUUGUCCAGGCAAAUCCGGAUAAUCAAGGCUGAGGUGUGAUGACGAGGUACUACGGUGCUGAAGUAACAAAUGCCCUGCUUCCAGGAAAAGCCUCUAAGCAUCAGGUAACAUCAAAUCGUACCCCAAACCGACACAGGUGGUCAGGUAGAGAAUACCAAGGCGCUUGAGAGAACUCGGGUGAAGGAACUAGGCAAAAUGGUGCCGUAACUUCGGGAGAAGGCACGCUGGUGUGUAGGUGAAGUCCCUGCGGAUGGAGCUGAGACCAGUCGAAGAUACCAGCUGGCUGCAACUGUUUAUUAAAAACACAGCACUGUGCAAACACGAAAGUGGACGUAUACGGUGUGACGCCUGCCCGGUGCCGGAAGGUUAAUUGAUGGGGUUAUCCGUAAGGAGAAGCUCUUGAUCGAAGCCCCGGUAAACGGCGGCCGUAACUAUAACGGUCCUAAGGUAGCGAAAUUCCUUGUCGGGUAAGUUCCGACCUGCACGAAUGGCGUAAUGAUGGCCAGGCUGUCUCCACCCGAGACUCAGUGAAAUUGAACUCGCUGUGAAGAUGCAGUGUACCCGCGGCAAGACGGAAAGACCCCGUGAACCUUUACUAUAGCUUGACACUGAACAUUGAGCCUUGAUGUGUAGGAUAGGUGGGAGGCUUUGAAGCGUGGACGCCAGUCUGCGUGGAGCCAACCUUGAAAUACCACCCUUUAAUGUUUGAUGUUCUAACGUUGGCCCCUUACCGGGGUUGCGGACAGUGUCUGGUGGGUAGUUUGACUGGGGCGGUCUCCUCCCAAAGCGUAACGGAGGAGCACGAAGGUUAGCUAAUCCUGGUCGGACAUCAGGAGGUUAGUGCAAUGGCAUAAGCUAGCUUGACUGCGAGCGUGACGGCGCGAGCAGGUGCGAAAGCAGGUCAUAGUGAUCCGGUGGUUCUGAAUGGAAGGGCCAUCGCUCAACGGAUAAAAGGUACUCCGGGGAUAACAGGCUGAUACCGCCCAAGAGUUCAUAUCGACGGCGGUGUUUGGCACCUCGAUGUCGGCUCAUCACAUCCUGGGGCUGAAGUAGGUCCCAAGGGUAUGGCUGUUCGCCAUUUAAAGUGGUACGCGAGCUGGGUUUAGAACGUCGUGAGACAGUUCGGUCCCUAUCUGCCGUGGGCGCUGGAGAAUUGAGGGGGGCUGCUCCUAGUACGAGAGGACCGGAGUGGACGCAUCACUGGUGUUCGGGUUGUCAUGCCAAUGGCACUGCCCGGUAGCUAAAUGCGGAAGAGAUAAGUGCUGAAAGCAUCUAAGCACGAAACUUGCCCCGAGAUGAGUUCUCCCUGAGACUUUAAGUCUCCUGAAGGAACGUUGAAGACGACGACGUUGAUAGGCCGGGUGUGUAAGCGCAGCGAUGCGUUGAGCUAACCGGUACUAAUGAACCGUGAGGCUUAACCUU
rnacentral:rRNA from 1 species